UACGUAGGUGACGAGCGUUGUCCGGAUUUACUGGGCGUAAAGGGCGCGUAGGCGGUCUGACAAGUGGAAGGUGAAAUCCCCGCGCUUAACGUGGGAACUGCCUUCCAAACUGUUUGACUUGAGUCCGGGAGGGGUGAGUGGAAUUCCCAGUGUAGCGGUGAAAUGCGUAGAUAUCAGGAGGAACGCCAAUGGCGAAGGCAAGUCUCUGGACAGUUCCUGACGCUCAUGCACGAAGGCCAGGGGAGCAAACGGG
rnacentral:rRNA from 1 species